ACGGCUCAGUAACACGUGGCUAACCUAACCUUGAGACAGAGACAACCCCGGGAAACUGGGACUAAUCCCUGAUAGGUGAGAAGGCCUGAAAUGGUUUCUCUCCCAAAGGGCAUCGAGACCAUGCUUCUUAAUGUUGCUCAAGGAUGGGGCCGCGACCGAUCAGGUUGUUGGUGAGGUAACGGCUCACCAAGCCUAUAACCGGUACGGGCCGUGAGAGCGGGAGCCUGGAGAUGGGCACUGAGACAAGGGCCCAGGCCCUACGGGGCGCAGCAGGCGCGAAAACUCCGCAAUGCGCGAAAGCGUGACGGGGCUAUCCCGAGUGCCGUCCGCUGAGGGCGGCUUUUCUCUAGUGUAAGGAUCUUGAGGAAUAAGGAGAGGGCAAGCCUGGUGUCAGCCGCCGCGGUAAUACCAGCUCUCCGAGUGGUAGGGACCAUUAUUGGGCCUAAAGCGUCCGUAGCUUGCCCAGAAAGUCUCUUGUUAAAUCUAACGAUCCAAUCGUUAGACUGCAGGAGAUACUGUUGGGCUAGGAGGCGGGAGAAGCCAACGGUAUUCUCGGGGUAGGGGUGAAAUCCUAUAAUCCCGGGAGGACCACCAGUGGCGAAGGCUAUUGGCUAGAACGCGCUCGACGGUGAGGGACGAAAGCUGGGGGAGCAAACCGGAUUAGAUACCCGGGUAGUCCCAGCUGUAAACGAUGCGGGCUAGGUGUUGAAACGGCCACGAGCCGUUUCAGUGCCGCAACGAAGGCGUUAAGCCCGCCGCCUGGGGAAUACGGCCGCAAGGCUGAAACUUAAAGGAAUUGGCGGGGGAGCAC
rnacentral:rRNA from 1 species